CCAUCACCACCGCCAUCCUAGCAUCGCUGGGUUCUCUGGUUCUUCUGGUUCUGCUGCUGGUUGUGGUUCUGCUGCUGUGGAGGAAACAAACAGAUACCAAAGAUCAACCACGUCUCCAUGAAGACACUGACGCACCUCCACCUGCAGACCCCACCUACGCUGACGUCACCAUCACUCAGGCAGCCAAUAAGAGAAGGAGGAAACCUCCUGUUGAGCCGGAGACGAUUUACUCUGGAGUCAACACACACACUGCAGGUCCUGCUGAUGUCACCUACGGUCAGGUUGUCAUCAGAGGUCAGGGGUCAACUGGACAGAGACCUGCUCAGCCAUCAGAGCCAGAUGUUGUGUACUCCUCAGUGAGAGCAGGAAAUUGAGGACUCUGGUUUCCGGUUACACCGACAGCUGAUUGGACGAUUCUUCUCACUGUGUUAUUGAUGCUGU